UCGUGGAGUGAUCUGUCUGCUUAAUUGCGUUUCACUAAGGAGCUAUAUUACUAUGUAUGUUGUCAGCGCAUUGACCCCUACAUUUCUGUGUUAACCCUUGCGGUUCAUUGUGAAUGUCAGCGUGUGUCUUUGAUUACGUCUGGCUCAUACGAUUAGCUCCUGAAAGCAACGAACGUGACCGCAACCUCUUAUUGCCUUCAUUUCCAAUA
rnacentral:rRNA from 1 species